rnacentral:rRNA from 1 species
GACGAACGCUGGCGGCGUGCCUAAUACAUGCAAGUCGAGCGGACUUAAAAAGCUUGCUUUUUAAGUUAGCGGCGGACGGGUGAGUAACACGUGGGCAACCUGCCUGUAAGACUGGGAUAACUUCGGGAAACCGGAGCUAAUACCGGAUAAUCCUUUUCUACUCAUGUAGAAAAGCUGAAAGACGGUUUACGCUGUCACUUACAGAUGGGCCCGCGGCGCAUUAGCUAGUUGGUGAGGUAACGGCUCACCAAGGCGACGAUGCGUAGCCGACCUGAGAGGGGGAUCGGCCAAACUGGGACUGAGACACGGCCCAGACUCCUAAGGGAGGCAGCAGUAGGGAAUCUUCCGCAAUGGACGAAAGUCUGACGGAGCAAAGCCGCGUGAGUGAUGAAGGUUUUCGGAUCGUAAAGCUCUGUUGUUAGGGAAGAACAAGUACGAGAGUAACUGCUCGUAACUUGACGGUACCUAACCAGAAAGCCACGGCUAACUACGUG